rnacentral:telomerase_RNA from 1 species
AGGCCCAGGAGAGGUGGCCACCAUGCUUCACCUAACCCAAAGAAACAAGGGAGGAGGCCCUUAGCAUUUGCUCCCAUGUGUGCUGUUUUUCUCACUGUCUUUCAGAGGGCAAAAAGCCUCAGCCUAUUGCAGACCACCAUCAACUCUGCAACAAACAAAAUUGUCAGCUGUUGGCGCAUCCAUCCACCUGGUACCUGUGGUGGCCAAGAGGCCAGGUGGAUAGGGAAUUCUUCUGAGGCACCAAUGCCUCCAGGAAGAGUUGGGCUCUAUCAACAGGGAUCCCUUGAGGGCAAAGCAAGGCCUGGCCGUGUGGCUAUAUGGACAGGAAUGGAGCUCAUCCCUGUGUGGUGCUCUUCCCUGGCCUGUGGGAAGUGCAUCAGGACCAUGUCCUCACAUGC